UUAGUGAUCCAGAAUAUUGAUCUGUUCAAAUGAGGUGAAUGCUCUGAGAAUCCUAAAUGAGACAUCCUAGUCAUCCAAUGUCUGGCCCUAAGAUUGUUCUGUAUUUAUUUUCGUAGCUUUCCAUUUAUAGGCCAUUUGUUGCCAACUCAGGAAGAUCUUCCAUGCAGGGGGAUUUUUGGGGCAUGCCCCAUCCAUCGAUGGAUCCUGCCCUGGAUAGGGAAUCUUAUCAUUGGUCUAGAUUCACCUCUGCGGACUUGUUGCACAGGGAUGUCAUUUAGAUUCUCAGCACGCCGAUGCUGAUAAUUCACCCACCAUUGUAAGUUGGUCAGCAUCGGGAUGUUGCUUUAGAAAAAUGUUUCGCAUGAUUCCUAUCAAACCGAGCUUAAAGCAUACUUUCGCUUCCCAGGCAUGCAGCGGGAUGUUAAUGUAUUGCUCUUCUUAGAUGUCAUAAAGGCAUUAGAAGAGGGAAUGAAGCUUUACAUUUCGGAUAACAAAGUGAUCUUGACGGAAGGUUUCGAUGGCAUCGUUCCCAGCAAAUACUUCGAAAAGAUAGAAACAUGGCACGACAGACAACCCAUUCCCUAUUAAAUAGCUGUGGUCGACAGGGUUGAGGAUGAUUUUAGAGCACUCAUUGGAACUCUCUCUCUCUCUCUCUCUCUCUCUUUUGUUUCUGUUUCUGUUUUUUUUUUUUUUUUUUUUUGGGCAAAAAUGUAUGUAUAAUCACAACGACUAUAAUAAUUAAAGCUAAUGUUACCCAGUAUUGAAGAAAUCAAUCUAAAGACCGAAAGGCUGGAGAGAAGGUUCUGUAAUUUUUCAGUUUUUAGUGAUGCAUGCCUCUGGCUCACUUUUUGAAGGCA